rnacentral:misc_RNA from 1 species
UGUCUCAGGAGAUGGCAUUGU